rnacentral:misc_RNA from 1 species
UUAACUUAUUCGGUUGUUACUCAGACGCACGGAUGCAGAGUUGUGUGGUCCACCGGGGGCCCCGACGCCCGUGAGGGCCGGGUCGCCCCCGAGGCAACAGAGUCGGAAUUCAAAGGGUUGGAGGUCGGGCCAGAGGCCCUCACUCGGUAAUGAUCCCUCCGCAGGUUCACCUACGGAGA